rnacentral:misc_RNA from 1 species
GGACUACUGGGGUUUCUAAUCCUGUUUGCUCCCCACGCUUUCGCGCCUCAGCGUCAGUUCAGCGCCAGAUGGCCGCCUUCGCCACCGGCCUUCCUCCAGAUAUCUACGCAUUUCACCGCUACACCUGGAAUUCCGCCAUCCCCUCGCUGACUCAAGUGAUGCAGUUUCCAAGGCAAUUUUAGGGUUAAGCCCUAAUCUUCCACCUCAGACUUACUCCACCGCCUACGCGCCCUUUAAGCCCAGUAAUUCCGAACAACGCUUGCCACCUCUGUCUUACCGCGGCGGCUGGCACU